rnacentral:rRNA from 1 species
GACGAACGCUGGCGGCGUGCCUAAUACAUGCAAGUCGAGCGAGCGGAACUAACAGAUUUACUUCGGUAAUGACGUUAGGAAAGCGAGCGGCGGAUGGGUGAGUAACACGUGGGGAACCUGCCCCAUAGUCUGGGAUACCACUUGGAAACAGGUGCUAAUACCGGAUAAGAAAGCAGAUCGCAUGAUCAGCUUUUAAAAGGCGGCGUAAGCUGUCGCUAUGGGAUGGCCCCGCGGUGCAUUAGCUAGUUGGUAAGGUAAAGGCUUACCAAGGCGAUGAUGCAUAGCCGAGUUGAGAGACUGAUCGGCCACAUUGGGACUGAGACACGGCCCAAACUCCUACGGGAGGCAGCAGUAGGGAAUCUUCCACAAUGGACGCAAGUCUGAUGGAGCAACGCCGCGUGAGUGAAGAAGGUUUUCGGAUCGUAAAGCUCUGUUGUUGGUGAAGAAGGAUAGAGGUAGUAACUGGCCUUUAUUUGACGGUAAUCAACCAGAAAGUCACGGCUAACUACGUGCCAGCAGCCGCAGUAAUACGUAGGUGGCAAGCGUUGUCCGGAUUUAUUGGGCGUAAAGCGAGCGCAGGCGGAAGAAUAAGUCUGAUGUGAAAGCCCUCGGCUUAACCGAGGAACUGCAUCGGAAACUGUUUUUCUUGAGUGCAGAAGAGGAGAGUGGAACUCCAUGUGUAGCGGUGGAAUGCGUAGAUAUAUGGAAGAACACCAGUGGCGAAGGCGGCUCUCUGGUCUGCAACUGACGCUGAGGCUCGAAAGCAUGGGUAGCGAACAGGAUUAGAUACCCUGGUAGUCCAUGCCGUAAACGAUGAGUGCUAAGUGUUGGGAGGUUUCCGCCUCUCAGUGCUGCAGCUAACGCAUUAAGCACUCCGCCUGGGGAGUACGACCGCAAGGUUGAAACUCAAAGGAAUUGACGGGGGCCCGCACAAGCGGUGGAGCAUGUGGUUUAAUUCGAAGCAACGUGAAGAACCUUACCAGGUCUUGACAUCUAGUGCCAUUUGUAGAGAUACAAAGUUCCCUUCGGGGACGCUAAGACAGGUGGUGCAUGGCUGUCGUCAGCUCGUGUCGUGAGAUGUUGGGUUAAGUCCCGCAACGAGCGCAACCCUUGUUAUUAGUUGCCAGCAUUAAGUUGGGCACUCUAAUGAGACUGCCGGUGACAAACCGGAGGAAGGUGGGGAUGACGUCAAGUCAUCAUGCCCCUUAUGACCUGGGCUACACACGUGCUACAAUGGGCAGUACAACGAGAAGCGAGCUUGCGAAGGCAAGCGAAUCUCUGAAAGCUGUUUUCAGUUCGGACUGCAGUCUGCAACUCGACUGCACGAAGCUGGAAUCGCUAGUAAUCGCGGAUCAGCACGCCGCGGUGAAUACGUUCCCGGGCCU